rnacentral:rRNA from 1 species
AACGAACGCUGGCGGCAUGCCUAACACACGCAAGUCGAACGAGACCUUCGGGUCUAGUGGCGCACGGGUGCGUAACGCGUGGGAAUCUGCCCUCUGGUACGGAAUAACUCAGGGAAACUUGAGCUAAUACCGUAUAAUGACUUCGGUCCAAAGAUUUAUCGCCUGAGGAUGAGCCCGCGUCGGAUUAGCUAGUUGGUGAGGUAAAGGCUCACCAAGGCGACGAUCCGUAGCUGGUCUGAGAGGAUGAUCAGCCACACUGGGACUGAGACACGGCCCAGACUCCUACGGGAGGCAGCAGUGGGGAAUAUUGGACAAUGGGCGAAAGCCUGAUCCAGCAAUGCCGCGUGGGUGAUGAAGGCCGUAGGGUUGUAAAGCUCUUUUACCCGGGAUGAUAAUGACAGUACCGGGAGAAUAAGCCCCGGCUAACUCCGUUCCAGCAGCCGCCGCAG